UCGCACAACAAACAGAAACUUGAGGCUGGAUUCAGUCCAGUUCCAGUUACAUACACUGGUUCUUGGCCUAGACAGAAGGUCGGCUAUCAACAUUCUCACUAAAACGACGCUGCCGUGACACAAAAGUCAUCUGAAACUGAUUAUGUAAUAGUUUGGAACGACCGCGGAAAAGCACGGAGGCGCACUCAUGGACACUCGAUCGUGUACAACAGACCACACAUACGGGACAGCACAGUGUGAACUCAAUCAAACUGCACUAACUUCUGUUUCUUAUUGUAAUUGGCAGACACACCUCUGCUAGUAUCUUGUCUGCCGUUGAGAUAACAAAGUAUGACUUUGUUGUACUUUGGUGGAUGGUUCCAAAGCAGAGUGUUUAGAAUCAUUGCAAGAUGCAGUCUGUAAACUGGACAUCAGCUAUUUUUCUAGCAAAUGCUGCACUAUCUCUGUAACCGCCAGUCCAACGCAAGGUGUCCAGCGAAAUACAGAGAAAUACAGAAAAUUUUGUAUUUGUUUCCUCUUGCAUUGACUAUGCCAAUAUGGAACUGCAAAUUUUGAAGAAGUGAAAGAUGUUGAAGUGCUAGCAUGUUGGAUCCUUAAUAGCAUGUCAUCACGUUGGCAUCAUAUGGGAGUAUUAGUAGGUGAGGUGACAGGAAGAACAUAGAGACUAAAAAGAAAUUUAGUCAAGUAUUGUUAUGUA